AUUCAGCUGACGAGUCCCAAAUAGGACGAAACGCGCGUCGUGGAU
rfam:Schistosoma rodhaini strain Burundi genome assembly, scaffold: SROB_scaffold0005531